rnacentral:lncRNA from 1 species
UUGAUUAAGAAUGAUUGAUAUUCAGUUUUCAGUAAAAUUCAAUUUAGGAAUCAUGUGAAAGAGACAAAGACUAAAUUUAUUUGGUGGGCAAAAAUUAUGUUUCUAUGGUGAAGACUAUGAGAAGAGAGAAAAAUAAAGGGGAAUAAGAAAAGGAAAAUAAAGAAAUAAAAAUAAAAAAUUAAACUAUUAAAAAAAAAUAAAAAUAUGGGGACUAGUUUAAGAAAUGGAAAAAUAAAAAAUCUAUGUUAAAAGAAAUGGAGAAGGGAGGAAAACAGGGGGAGAAGGAGAAGAGAAUGGAAAAUA